GCUCGAGUGGUGGAAUUGGCAGACACGACGGACUUAAAAUCCGUUGCCUCACGGCGUGCCGGUUCAAGUCCGGCCUCGAGUA
rfam:Lentisphaera araneosa HTCC2155 1101329224545, whole genome shotgun sequence.